rnacentral:rRNA from 1 species
AUUGAACGCUGGCGGCAGGCCUAACACAUGCAAGUCGACCGAGUGGCGGACGGGUGAUUACUAUCUGGGAAACUGCCCGAGGGAGGGGGCUAACUGAUGGAAACGCUAAUUACUACCGCAUCCCAUUGGAUCUACCCCGGUGUGAGUAGCUUGUUGGUGAGGUAACGGCCAACCUAGGCGACGCUCCCUAGCUGGUCUGAGAGGAUGACCAGCAACACUGGAACUGAGACACGGUGCAGACUCCUACGGGAGGCAGCAGUGGGGAAUAGUGCACAAUGGGCGCAAGCCUGAUGCAGCCAUGCCGCGGGUAUGAAGAAGGCCUUCGGGUUGUAAAGUACUUUCAGCGGGGAGGCGUUACCCGCAGAAGAAGCACCGGCUAACUCCGUGCCAGCAGCCGCGGUAAUUC